CAAUAUCGUAUAUUAAAGUUGUUGCAGUUAAAAAGCUCGUAGUUGGAUUUCUGGUGGGAGCGAUCGGUCUGGCGCUUAGCGCGAGUACUUGCAUCGUCUCCGGCCAUCCUUGGGGAGAGUCUGUCUGGCAUUAAGUUGUCGGGCAGAGGAUCCUCAUCGUUUACUGUGAAAAAAUUAGAGUGUUCAAAGCAGGCUUAUGCCGUUGAAUAUAUUAGCAUGGAAUAAUAAGAUAGGACUUUGGUACUAUUUUGUUGGUUUGCGCACCAAAGUAAUGAUUAAUAGGGACAGUUGGGGGUAUUCGUAUUCCGUUGUCAGAGGUGAAAUUCUUGGAUUUACGGAAGACGAACUACUGCGAAAGCAUUUACCAAGGAUGUUUUCAUUAA
rnacentral:rRNA from 1 species